CCUGGCUCAGGAUGAACGCUGGCGGCGUGCCUAACACAUGCAAGUCGAACGAAGCUUUGAGGAGCUUGCCUUUUAAAGCUUAGUGGCGGACGGGUGAGUAACGCGUGAGCAACCUGCCUCUCAGAGGGGGAUAACGUUUUGAAAAGAACGCUAAUACCGCAUAAUAUAUCGGAACCGCAUGAUUCUGAUAUCAAAGGAGCAAUCCGCUGAGAGAUGGGCUCGCGUCCGAUUAGUUAGUUGGUGAGGUAACGGCUCACCAAGACUACGAUCGGUAGCCGGACUGAGAGGUUGAUCGGCCACAUUGGGACUGAGACACGGCCCAGACUCCUACGGGAGGCAGCAGUGGGGGAUAUUGCGCAAUGGGGGAAACCCUGACGCAGCAACGCCGCGUGAAGGAAGAAGGUCUUCGGAUUGUAAACUCCUUUUGUCAGGGACGAAGAAAGUGACGGUACCUGACGAAUAAGCUCCGGCUAACUACGUGCCAGCAGCCGCGGUAAUACGUAGGGAGCGAGCGUUGUCCGGAUUUACUGGGUGUAAAGGGUGCGUAGGCGGCCGAGCAAGUCAGUUGUGAAAACUAUGGGCUUAACCCAUAACGUGCAAUUGAAACUGUCCGGCUUGAGUGAAGUAGAGGUAGGCGGAAUUCCCGGUGUAGCGGUGAAAUGCGUAGAGAUCGGGAGGAACACCAGUGGCGAAGGCGGCCUACUGGGCUUUAACUGACGCUGAGGCACGAAAGCAUGGGUAGCAAACAGGAUUAGAUACCCUGGUAGUCCAUGCCGUAAACGAUGAUUACUAGGUGUGGGGGGACUGACCCCUUCCGUGCCGCGGUUAACACKAUAAGUAAUCCACCUGGGGAGUACGGCCGCAAGGUUGAAACUCAAAGAAAUUGACGG
rnacentral:rRNA from 1 species